rnacentral:rRNA from 1 species
UGGGGAAUCUUGGACAAUGGGGGCAACCCUGAUCCAGCCAUGCCGCGUGAGUGAUGAAGGCCUUAGGGUCGUAAAGCUCUUUCGCCUGUGAAGAUAAUGACGGUAGCAGGUAAAGAAACCCCGGCUAACUCCGUGCCAGCAGCCGCGGUAAUACGGAGGGGGUUAGCGUUGUUCGGAAUUACUGGGCGUAAAGCGCACGUAGGCGGAUCGGAAAGUUGGGGGUGAAAUCCCGGGGCUCAACCCCGGAACUGCCUCCAAAACUAUCGGUCUAGAGUUCGAGAGAGGUGAGUGGAAUUCCGAGUGUAGAGGUGAAAUUCGUAGAUAUUCGGAGGAACACCAGUGGCGAAGGCGGCUCACUGGCUCGAUACUGACGCUGAGGUGCGAAAGUGUGGGGAGCAAACAGGAUUAGAUACCCUGGUAGUCCACACCGUAAACGAUGAAUGCCAGU